rnacentral:rRNA from 1 species
AUUGAACGCUGGCGGCAUGCUUUACACAUGCAAGUCGAACGGUAACAGGUUAAGCUGACGAGUGGCAAACGGGUGAGUAAUGCAUCGGAACGUGCCCGAUCGUGGGGGAUAACGCAGCGAAAGCUGCGCUAAUACUGCAUACGAUCAGAGUAUGAAAGCGGGGGACCGUAAGGCCUCGCCCGAUCGGAGCGGCCGAUGUCAGAUUAGGUAGUUGGUGGGGUAAAGGAUCACCAAGGCGACGAUCUGUAGCUGGUCUGAGAGGACGACCAGCCAAACUGGGACUGAGACACGGCCCAGACACCUACGGGAGGCAGCAGUGGGGAAUUUUGGACAAUGGGCGCAAGCCUGAUCCAGCAAUGCCGCGUGCAGGAAGAAGGCCUUCGGGUUGUAAACUGCUUUUGUACGGAGCGAAAAGGCUCUCUCUAAUACAGGGGGCUCAUGACGGUACCGUAAGAAUAAGCACCGGCUAACUACGUGCCAGCAGCCGCCGUAA